UAGUUUAGUUAGUUUUAGUUUGCUUAUUUAGUUUAGUUAGUUUUAUUUGUUUUAGUUAGUUUAGAUUAGUUUCUCUUUGGUUUUCUUAAAAGACCUUAGAGCGGCCAAUGGAGCCAUUAAACUCGUCAGGGUGGUCCAUUCCAAACGGCUUGGGUUAUUUAGAAAACCCCGGACCGGUUCCACUCUCUCAAUUGACGGACACACUGUUUCGCCCGUCAACAGUCAUGCACCCUAUAUGGUGAGAGUCCAGUAUGAAAAAGCAUCAUUGGGUUACGCUCUAACCCGAGUAGCAUAGAACACAUGGAAUCCCAUGUGAAUCAGCAAGGACCACCUUGCAAGGCUAAAUACUCCUGGGUGAUCGAUAGCAAAGUAGUACCGUGAGGGAAAGGUGAAAAGAACCCCCAUCGGGGAGUGAAAUAGAACAUGAAACCGUAAGCUCCCAAGCAGUGGGAGGAAAAUGAUAUCUCUGACCACAUGCCUAUUGAAGAAUGAUCCGACGACUUAUAGGUAGUGGCUUGGUUAAGGAAACCCAUUGGAGUCGUAGUGAGAGAGAGUCUUCAUGGGGCAAUUGUCACUUCUUAUGGACCCAAACCUAGGUGAUCUAUCCAUGACCAGGAUGAAGAUUAGGUGAAACUAAGUGGAGGUCUGAACCGACUGAUGUUGAAAAAUUAGUGGAUGAGUCGUGGUUAGAGAUGAAAUGCCACUCGAAACCAGAGCUAGCUAGUUCUCCCUGAAAUUCAUUGAGGUGCAACAGUUGGCUGGACCAUCUAGGGAUAAAGCACUAUUUUGGUACGGGCCGCGAGAGCGGUACCAAAUCGAGGCAAACUCUGAAUACUAGAUUGCCCCAAUAAAAGGGGUAAAGGUCAGCCAGUGAGACAAUGGGGGAUAAGCUUCAUCGUCGAGAGGGAAACAACCCAGAUCAUUAGUUAAUGCCCCUAAAUGACUGCUUAGUGAUGAAGGAAGUAUGAGUGCAAAGACAACCAGGUGGUUUUCCUAGAAGCAUCCAACCUUGAAAGAGUGUAUAAUAGCUCACUGAUUGAGUGCUCUUACACUGAAGAUGAAUGGGACUAAGCCAUCUGCCAAAGCUGUGGGAUGUAAAAAUGCAUCGGUAGGGGAGCGUUCUACCUCAGAGGGAAGCACCGGUGUGAGCAGGUGUGGAUAAAGCGGAAGCAAGAAUGUCAACUUGAAUAAUGCAAACAUUGGUGAGAAUCCAAUGCCCCAAAAACCUAAGGGUUCCUCCAAAAGGUUCAUCCAUGGAGGGUGAGUCGGGGCCUAAGAUCAGGCCAAAAGGCAUAGUCGAUGGACAACAGGUUAAUAUUCCUGUAUUACCCCUUGUUUUUCCUAAGGGAUGGAGGAGGGUAGGUUAGCCGAAAUAUGGUUAUCGGUUCAAGGACACAAGGUGACCCUCUAUACAUUGAUUCAAAGGUAAAAGAAGAAUCAAAUAUAGGUGUGUACAAGGUGAGGUUGGGGGUGGAUAUUCCUCAUCAU
rnacentral:ncRNA from 1 species